GAUGAACGCUGGCGGCGUGCCUAAUACAUGCAAGUCGUGCGGAAAGGCCACUUCGGUGGUACUCGAGCGGCGGACGGCAGAGUAACGCGUAGGAACAUACCCCAAACUGAGGCAUAACUGCUCGAAAGAGCAGCUAAUACCGCAUGUGAUCUUCGGAUUAAAGCUUCGGCGGUUUGGGAAUGGCCUGCGUCCGAUUAGCUAGUUGGUGAGGUAAAUGCUCACCAAGGCUUCGAUCGGUAGCUGGUCUGAGAGGAUGAUCAGCCUGACUGGAACUGAGAACGGUCCAGACUCCUACGGGAGGCAGCAGUAGGGAAUUUUCCACAAUGGGCGAAAGCCUGAUGGAGCAACGCCGCGUGCAGGAUGAAUGCCUUCGGUUGUAAACUGCUUUUAUAGUUGAAGAAUAAUGACGGUAACUAAUGAAUAAAGGGUACGGCGUAACUAACGUGCCAGC
rnacentral:rRNA from 1 species